AACGAACGCUGGCGGCGCGUCUUAAGCAUGCAAGUCGAACGGCAACAGAGGAGCUUGCUUCUCUCCUAGAGUGGCGGUCUGGUGAGGAACACGUGGGUAAUCUACUCUAAAGUUGGGGAUAGCUGCUAGAAAUAGAACGUAAUACCGUAUAGACUCCGCAUAUCACAUGAAGUGAUGAGGAAUGCAAGCUACGCCCUCGCUAGUGGAUGAGCUUGCGUCUCAUUAGCUAGUUGGUGAGGUAAAGGCCCACCAAGGCGACGAUGGGUAUCCGGCCUGAGAGGAUGAACAGACACAUUGGGACUGAGAUACGGCCCAAACUCCUACGGGAGGCAGCAGCGAGGAAUAUUGGACAAUGGGCGGAAGUCUGACGGAGCGACGCCGCGUGGAUGAAGAAGGCUGAAGAGUUGUAAAGUCCUUUUGUUGAUAAAGAAAAGGAGCAGGUGGGAAUGCUGAUCUGAUGACGGUAAUCGACGAAUAAGCCCCGGCUAAUUACGUG
rnacentral:rRNA from 1 species